CUCCACCGUCCAUAUUGUCUGCCCUUCCUCGCCAUCUACGACCGACAAGCUUGGAAACCCAGGCAGGCUGCUCCUCGGCUCUGAGCAAUCUGCAGCACGGGGCCUGCUCGAGCCGGUUUUGCUCCAAGGGCUUUUAAAAGGCACGUUUUUUACUUACCGGUGCUCAUCUUGGCGCAAUGGAGUCUGGAAGCAUUGGUGACCAACAUUGGACAAGACACGGGGCAAUCCUGCACUGGAUGGUGGAGUCAAAGGAAAAACGUUCUCCCUUUUGGAACAAAGGAAAACCCACUUGGCCAUUUCAUUCCAUGGCAGAAAAAUGGCUCCCCUGAAUGUUGGCCUCUCCUUGGCUUGUCUGAUGACGGAUGUUUGGAGAUCCGCGUCUAAUAACUCAAGCCCCAUAGAAGCUUGGCGCUGAUUGGCCCAAGGGCCCUGGCGCCCUGAAUCAGCCAAUUACCGCACCACGGCCCAAUUACAAACCCCCAAAAUACCCCCCAAUAUGAGACGAACCACCGUGAAGCCGAAGCAAGACAGGCAGCCUCCUCUUCAGCCCGGAGGAGGCUGGGAGGGAGCGAGGAAGGAAGGAGGGGAAGGGGAAAAAAAAAACACCCAUUGCUCCCUCCCCUACCCCCCCACUGUAAUAGUGUAACCGAGAAGAAGCACCGGGUGCUUUGGGGUAGAAGCGACCAAAUGGAAGCUGCGUGCUGAUUGGUCGCCGCCAGUCCCAGGACCUUUAAUAAA